CGGAGAAAAGCACCUUGGACUAUACUAAAUGGGAGCAAACAGACCUGUUAGUAUGUUCUUGGAUGCUAGAUAAUAUGGAAGCUGAGUUAAUUACAGACUAUGCAGAGUAUCCAACAGCCAAGGAUUUAUGGGAUGGUCUGGCUACAACCUACAGUCAGGGACGAGAAGGAGUUCAAUUGUUUGAUCUUACGGUUCGAGCAAACACAAUGAAACAAGGCACAGAUACAUUGGAGGUUUAUUACAGUAAAUUGCAGAGACUAUGGCGGGAGAUAGAAGUCAGACAACCUAAUCCUAUGAUUUGUGCAGAUGACAUCACAAUGUUUAAUAAACUCAGAUCGGACCAGAAAUUGUAUCAAUUUCUCGCUGGAAUUGGAGAAGAAUUUGAUUCAGAUAAAAGAGAUUUGCUGAAAACAGAACCUUUACCUACCUCAGAGGCAGCCUAUGCAACAAUUCGAAGGGAACGAGAUCGUCGAAAAGCUAUGACUGGAAAUCUAUCAUCGGCAGUCACCUCAGGAGUUGGAGCUGGCCUACUUUCAUCAUUGGUGGCCGCUUCGGAAGGAGGAAAAUCAGUGAC
rnacentral:lncRNA from 1 species